CGGUCGAGUUGUAAUUUGUAGAAGGUGCUUCGGGUGCGAUCGCGGCUCAAGUCCCUUGGAACAGGGCGUCCCAGAGGGUGAGAAUCCCGUACGCGGCCGACGAUCAAGCCCGUGUGAAGCCCUUUCGACGAGUCGAGUUGUUUGGGAAUGCAGCUCUAAAUGGGUGGUAAAUUUCAUCUAAAGCUAAAUAUCUGCCAAAGACCGAUAGCGCACAAGUAGAGUGAUCGAAAGAUGAAAAGAACUUUGAAAAGAGAGUUAAACAGUACGUGAAAUCGUUAAAAAGGAAGGGCUUGCAAACCAGACUCGCUCGCGGGUGUUCAGCCGUCCCUCGGGGCGGUGCAUUCUCCCGCGAUCGGGCCAGCAUCGGUUCUGGCGGCCGGACAAAGGCCUUGGGAACGUAGCUCCUUUCGGGGAGUGUUAUAGCCCGGGGUGCAAUGCGGCCAGCCGGGACCGAGGACCGCGCAUUCGCUAGGAUGCUGGCGUAAUGGUUGCUAGCCACCCGUCUUGAAACACGGA
rnacentral:rRNA from 1 species